CCGUGGGCGGCUGCUUACCAUGCAGUCGAACGAUGAUGCCCAGCUUGCUGGGUGGAUUAGUGGCGAACGGGUGAGUAACACGUGAGUAACCUGCCCUUGACUUCGGGAUAACUCCGGGAAACCGGGGCUAAUACCGGAUAUGAGCCGCCUUCGCAUGGGGGUGGUUGGAAAGUUUUUCGGUCAGGGAUGGGCUCGCGGCCUAUCAGCUUGUUGGUGGGGUGAUGGCCUACCAAGGCGACGACGGGUAGCCGGCCUGAGAGGGCGACCGGCCACACUGGGACUGAGACACGGCCCAGACUCCUACGGGAGGCAGCAGUGGGGAAUAUUGCACAAUGGGCGAAAGCCUGAUGCAGCGACGCCGCGUGAGGGAUGAAGGCCUUCGGGUUGUAAACCUCUUUCAGCAGGGAAGAAGCGCAAGUGACGGUACCUGCAGAAGAAGCGCCGGCUAACUACGUGCCAGCAGCCGCGGUAAUACGUAGGGCGCAAGCGUUGUCCGGAAUUAUUGGGCGUAAAGAGCUCGUAGGCGGUUUGUCGCGUCUGGUGUGAAAACUCGAGGCUCAACCUCGAGCUUGCAUCGGGUACGGGCAGACUAGAGUGCGGUAGGGGAGACUGGAAUUCCUGGUGUAGCGGUGGAAUGCGCAGAUAUCAGGAGGAACACCGAUGGCGAAGGCAGGUCUCUGGGCCGCAACUGACGCUGAGGAGCGAAAGCAUGGGGAGCGAACAGGAUUAGAUACCCUGGUAGUCCAUGCCGUAAACGUUGGGCACUAGGUGUGGGGCUCAUUCCACGAGUUCCGUGCCGCAGCAAACGCAUUAAGUGCCCCGCCUGGGGAGUACGGCCGCAAGGCUAAAACUCAAAGGAAUUGACGGGGGCCCGCACAAGCGGCGGAGCAUGCGGAUUAAUUCGAUGCAACGCGAAGAACCUUACCAAGGCUUGACUUGCACGAGAAGCCACCAAAGAUGGUGGUCUCUUUGGACACUCGUGCACAGGGGGUGCAUGGU
rnacentral:rRNA from 1 species